rnacentral:lncRNA from 1 species
CUUCUCUUUCCUUUUCCUCCCCAGCUCAGUCCAUCCUCUCUCUUCUUGUCGUCAUCAUAACAUCCCCCCCUUCGAAUAACCUGGUCCCCAAGGUUAAAAAUUUGGGAAAGUAGCCUGUAUUUCAUACGCUCUCUCUCACGUAGUAUCGUCAGCAUGGGAAACUUCCCAGUGAACUAGCCAUUGAGUAAUGGCUUUGCCAUUUAGGUUGAUCAUCCUUGUAGAUAGAACUUGUAGCGACUGAAUGUGUUCUCUCUUAUCCUUGUAAAAUUUUGGCAGUGCAACAGUUGGGUCUUUCUUUUUCCCAAUUUUCUUUUUCAAUAGAGAGAGAUGAAAAAUGGGAUGGAUUUGAGCUGCAACAGGUAAUUCUAAUUUAUAAGCCGCCUGUCCAAACCUCUGAAUAACUUUGUAAAGCUCAUAAUACUUCGCAGAAAGUUUCUUGUUGGUCCUCCUUGCCACUGUCUGUUGAGCAUAAGGUUGUAAUUUUAGGUACACCCAGUCCCCACUUGGAACUCCCUUUCACUCCUGUGUUUAUUUGCAUAGAGUUUUAUUCUGGCAUUUACUUGAACUAGAUUCUCCUUUAGUACUCUGUCGAUAUUAUGUUUUUCCUGUAGCAUAAAUUCCACUGAAGUACAUGUGAUCUGCUGGUAAGGCCCUAAGGCUAACUAAUAAGGUUUAAUACCAUGCAGAUCUUCAAACGGUAUCUUUAAUCGAAGUGUGUAGGGUGGUGUUGUGCCACCAUUCAGACAGGCUGAUCCAUUUACUCCACUGCCUAGUUUGUUUAUAAACUAUGUACCUGAGAUGCAUUUCAAGAUACUGGUUCAAUCUUUUGGUUUGCCCAUCAGUUUGUGGGUAAUACACUGAACUUAACUGCAACUUGACUCCCAAGUGUUUAAACAAUUCACGCAUGAAUUCACUUGUGAAGAUUUUAUCCCUGUCAGCAACAAUACUUUGAGGCAAACCAUGUACUUUAUGAAUGCAAUCCAAGAAUAAUUUAACAACAGUUGGGACUGAGAAAGGAU